GUGACACUGAGAGUCAGUUGAAGGAGUGAUACUAACUUUUUACUUUUUCUUGGACAGGUAUCACCAAUCCUGUCAAGUUGACGCCAUCACACUGACCAAACUCAGGAAAUACAGGUAUCUAUGACAAAUAUGGAGACAAGAUCAGCAGUAAGAAGACCUAAACAAAACAAAACAAGAAAUCUCCACCUGAGUUGCAUCGCCAUCCAUACAGUGUUUUCCUUACAGGAAACUUUUACUAGCAGCACUCUCCCAGGAGACACAAGGAGGCAUUCUGUUUGACAGUUCUGAUGCACUGUGCCGUUCACAGGUGCAGAAAUUAUCCUGGCAGUCAAAUUCAGGCACUUGUCCUAGGUGUGUGCACACUUUUUCAACACAAAACUUCAUUUUGCAGUUGUAUUUAGAAGUACCUCUGGAGAAAUCUUAAAGUCCAACAGUUUUGUACCAAACAUUUCUAAUUUUUAUAGCCAAAUCAAAGAUUAAAUCUUCAUCUUUUCAUGAGAAUACAUGAAUUGCCAUAGCUGGUAACUCUAGAGAAAUUCUGUUUAGACAUCUUCUAUGUAGUUUCUUACACCAGUAUUUAUUUAUUUAUCAUUAUGGCAGAACACCAUAAGCUGUUUCUUCUUGAAGGUUCUCAGACUUUUUACCAUUUUCCAAAAGGGAUGUAUGAGAAACAAAGGUGGGGGGGCAGGUUUUAUGUCUUCAAAAUGGGAAAGUAAUAACUGAUUUUUCAUGCAUAAUGAACAUUUUGUUAUUAGAGUCUCUCAGCUUCUUCAAAGAGCAAUUUCACCCAUGAAUCAGCUUCACAGAGUUUUAGAACUAUAUCAGACCUCAAAGGCAAUAUGAUCCAAUUUCUCUAUUAAAGAAUUAAAGGAGGGCUAGGGUUGUGCCUUACACUAGUACGUGUAAGGCAGUGGGUUUGAUCAUCAGCAUCACAUUAAAUAAAUAAGUAAAUAAAGUCAAAAACAUUAAAGGAAAACUAGCAAGGCAAAGUGACUUGCCCAAGGUCACAUACUAAUUCAUGCUAAACCAGGGAUAGAAUCAAUUUUAUUAACUUUCUAUUUAGGAAAUUCUACUCUUUUGACAUAUCUUGUAUGGGAAAAAGUCUGACUGUAGUUAGGAAGGCGUCAUUUUAUCAUUUAAAUACAAGGGAAAUAAUUCUCAGUGGUUUCAAGCUUUUCUCUUGCUGAUCUCUGUGCUAAAGAACUGCAGGUGUAAUUUAAGAAGAAAGGGAGGGGAACUGACCUCUAGUUGGGUCUUUCUAAAAUGGCCUUUGCAUAGAUAGACUGAAAAUAAACAAACCAAUAAAUCAGCGACCCUAUCUUUAAAAAUAUAGUUAGAUUUUAGGUUAAUUUUUUUCAGUGGUGAAGAGAGCAGAAGUCUCUUUUGUUUAAGCCUCAUGAUCACAGCAGUUAAUCAAAUACUUCUGGCAAACUUUGAAAGAAUAUUUGU